UUCAAGUUUUUUCCUAAUAAGUAACUUGCUUAUUAAUCAGGCCAAGGAGGAAUUUGAAGAACUGCUAAAAAAAUACUCCAAAAUCAUCACUUGUGUGUGAAUAAUGCAAGAGUAGAAAAAGAUGUGAGUGAUUCCCAGUUGCAGAUUUUUUCUUGAAAUGAGCAUGUUGGGCAUAAUAGGUCAAACAGAACG